rnacentral:lncRNA from 1 species
UCUGCCUGCAUGUAUGCAACUACAGGCCAGAGGAGGGCACCAGACCUGAUUUCAGAUGGUUGUGAGCCACCAUGUAGUUGCUGGGAAUUGAACUCCUGACCUCUGGAAGAGCAGUCAGUGCUCUUAACCUCUGAGCCAUCUCUCCAGCCCCUGUCCAAAGUUCUUAAGGGGUUCCCCAAAAUAUGCAAAGUCAACGUAUGUCUCUCCACCCAGCGUCUCCAGCAUCUCCAGCAGGCAUCCGGGCAUCCCUUCUCCGGGGCUGUCAGGAACACCCACUUCCCAACCCAAGGGCCAGGCUGGUGCUCAGGAUGGGGCUGCACAGGUGGUUCUCAGCAGAUGCUGUGGAAAUGGAAGAGAAGGGCAAAGGCAAACCUCACCCAGGAGAGGCGGAGGCAGGAGGAUGUGGAGAUGCAGGCCAGCCUAGGCGGCAGCUUCUGAUUCGGUCUGAAGAUAGGAUAAUAAAAUAGAAAAGAGGAGACUCCAGGAAAGAAAGUAAGUAAAUUGUAAGAGAAAUUUCAAAAGGAAAUUAAAAUUUAAGAGAAAUUCAUUUCCA